rnacentral:rRNA from 1 species
GUGAGGAAUAUUGCGCAAUGGAGGCAACUCUGACGCAGCCAUGCCGCGUGCAGGAAGAAGGCGCUACGCGUUGUAAACUGCUUUUAACCGGGAAGAAACCCCAGGACGUGUCCUGGGUUGACGGUACCGGAGGAAUAAGCACCGGCUAACUUCGUGCCAGCAGCCGCGGUAAUACGAAGGGUGCAAGCGUUAUCCGGAUUCAUUGGGUUUAAAGGGUGCGUAGGCGGAGCGUUAAGUCAGUGGUGAAAUCCUGCAGCUUAACUGUAGACUUGCCAUUGAUACUGGCGCUCUUGAGUGCGCUUGAAGUGGGCGGAAUGUGCCGUGUAGCGGUGAAAUGCUUAGAUAUGGCACAGAACACCAAUUGCGAAGGCAGCUCACUAAGGCGAUACUGACGCUGAGGCUCGAAAGCGUGGGGAUCGAACAGGAUUAGAAACCCCGGUAGUCC